UGCUACCUGGUUGAUCCUGCCAGUAGUCAUAUGCUUGCUCAAAG
rnacentral:rRNA from 1 species